rnacentral:lncRNA from 1 species
UAUCCAGCUUCUGCAAGUAGCUUAUUGUCACAAGACCGAAUCUGCAUUUCUAGGUUAGACAAACAGGCACCAAAAUCUGUAAUUUAUGUAAGUUUUGGAAGCAUUGCUGCCAUUGAUGAGACCAAAUUUUUGGAAGUAGCUUGGGGCCUAGCCAACAGCAAGGUGCCAUUCUUGUGGGUGGUACGGCCAGGACUAGUCCGCGGAGCAGAAUGGAUUGAGCUAUUACCACGAGGGUUCUUGGAAAUGUUAGACGGAAGAGGGCAUAUAGUGAAAUGGGCUCCCCAGCAAGAAGUGCUAGCUCAUCCUGCCACCGGAGCAUUUUGGACACAUUGUGGCUGGAAUUCGACGUUGGAAAGUAUGUGUGAAGGUGUCCCCAUGAUAUGCCAGCCUUGUCAUGGUGAGCAAAUGGUGAUUGCAAGAUAUGUUAGUGAUGUUUGGAAAGUUGGUUUGCAUUUGGAAAGGAAGCUGGAGAGAGGGGAGGUUGAAAGGGCAAUUAGAAGAGUAAUGGUGGAUGCCGAGGGGCGGGAAAUGAGGAACAGAGCUGAGAUUCUGAAGGAAAAACUGGAUCUUUGUACAAAGCAAGGCAGUUCUUCAUAUCAAUCUCUAGAAAACUUGAUUAGUUACAUUUUGUCAUACUAGAUUUUCCAAUACUUACAUCUAUCUUUCUAAUAAGGGCAGUAUGAAAAUUAAAACAUGGCAUGUCCCGGCCGUAUUCAAUGAGAUCUUUCUGAAUAUUUAUGUGAUCAGCGUUCCCCAACCCAAGGAGUGAAACUUGAAGGACUUAUCCAAAAUCCGUAGCAAGGCCAAGUUUAUAUUGUUUAAGGGGAUUUUUUUUUUUUUGCAAUAAUUGUGGGGUGUUGAAGAAAAAGCUGAUAAGAUAGUGACCUGCACUCUCUUCUAGUCUUCUUGCAUUAACAGUGUCCGAAGUUUGUGCAUUUGUUGGAUAUUUCUGAUCCUUACAGGAAAUCAAAAGUCGGAUUUGUAUUUGUGAGCUGAAUAAAGACGUGAGUUGGUUUGUGUUGCUCUCGUUGUUUAAUUUCCCCUUCUUCAUGUGAAGGAAUGCAUUAUAUUUCAUUUAGCAAUUUAUUAGAUUAUUAAUUAUUGUUGCUCGUUAAACUAAAGUUUCGUUCACCAAUAAAAUAUUUAAUUAACUCAUUGUACGUGUGUACGGCUAAUGAACAACAGUAUAAGUGAGAAAUUAAACAGAAAGCAGGAAGCAGAAAGAUUCAAUGGAGAAUCAAAUAGAGUCACAUACGCAACAAUAAGAACGGAAUAAGAGUGAUACUCUUCGCAUAAGAGUCCAUGCUUCAGCUUGCAAGCAUUCUCUAUUCCAGAGGCUUCUCAGCCUCUGUAAUUCAAUACCAGCUUCAACUCUCCAAAAUCUUCAAACUACGUACCCUCUCUUCUAGUGGAGCUGUGGAGUUCCCCAAAAAAAACCCAUAAUUUUCUAUCCGACCUUUUCCUUUGAUAUGAUUAUUAGUGGAGGAGAAAAAAUGAGUCAGAAACUUUAGAUUAGACAUCUGCAAUUCUGCAUGGGUAACGUAACGUCACUCAUUCAAUAGUUGGGCUAAAGUUUGGAUUCUUAUAAGAGGGCGAGAUAAGCCCAUUGGGCCUAUAAGCUGAUAACACCGCCGAAAAGCUAACUAAAACAGGAGCAGCAAAUCAAAUUAUUACUUCAGUUUUAUGGCUGCCACAUGGUUCUCUGCUUGUCUUGUCUAAUGGGCAACGCCAAUGCGUCGGUGCUCUGCCUUUGUGCCCCAUCUAAUAAUAUAUUAUGAUUAUGAUUAUUAUCUAAUUCAUGCAUAUCCUUUCUAAGUGAUUGGGUUGCCACUAUUUUACAUUACUUUUUUACAUCCUUUUUUUAUGCAUGUAUUGCUUUAUGCAAGUCUAAAAGAGGUUCUAUGACACAAUCCAUGGGUUUAUCCAAACUCAAAUCAAAUUAAAUGGUUUGGGUUGGGUAAAUCAUUAAAAUGGGUUAGAUGUGGGUUUUAUGUAAAAAACCAUUUCAUUAUGGUUUGGGUAUGGUUUACCCAUGGGUUAUGGAUAAAACCCCAACACUUAAAUUUUCAAAUGAAAUAAAUCACCAUUAAAUUUUUUACGGCUGAUCAAUUAUCAACAGUUUGAAAAUGAAAAUAACAGUAAAAAUAAAUUUAAAUUAAAUAAAUAUUGUUGUAAAUAACAUAAAUUUUUUUUCUUAUUUACAAAAAUAAUUCCUCCCACAUGGAAAGAUCAUCAUAGAAAGAGCAGGAGACUCUACUAAUGAUCAAUAAUAAUUCGGCUUGGAUUGGGUCCGAUAUGCUAGAUGUCGGCUAAUUUUUGGUUAAUAAUUGAAUGUAAUGCCCAUAUUAAGUAUUAAAACAAGAAAUAUAUAUUUUGAUAUGAGUAGAAAAAUUAAUAAUAAAAUUUUUUCUUGUAAUUAUUUAUUUUGUGAACAUUUUCUUAUAAUAAAUAUUUUGUAAUAUUUUAAAAUUAAAUGUAAAAAGUAUAGGUAAAAUAUUUUAUUAUUUAUCUUAUAAUAAAUUUUUAUUUGUCAAUCAAGUUUUCUUAUAAUAAUUUUUUUAUCAUUUUACUAAUAAUUUUCUUAUAUAUUUAUUAUAAGAAAAUUUUCAAAAAAUAAAUAAGUAUAAAAAAAUUUUAUUAUUAAUUUUUUUGUUCAUAUCAAAACAAAUAUUUCUUAUUUUUAAUGCUUUAUUUUUUAUUUAGUUUCUAUUCAUGUGAUUUAUUUAAUUUAUAAUAAAUGUAAAUAAAAGAGUAAUUAAAAAUUACCAAAACGAUAAAUAAAAACAAAUAUUGCAUAAUUAAAUAAAUAACAAGUGGCAAAAUUUAUUAUUAGAUUGUUAAUGUCAUGUUUGUGAAAGUUUAUUAUUAAAGUGUACGUUCUUAUUUAUUGAGAAAUAAUAAUUUUUGUGAUUAAACUUUAUUUUGAUUUUCUAGUAUUCUUUAAUUUAAGGAUUAAGUUAUUGUAAAAUUUAUAAUUUUUAUCCACUAUAUUUUUUAUAUUUUAAUAUCAAUUUAAUAAUUAAUAACAAUUAAUAAUUAUUAUAAUUUUGAUAUAAUUAAAUUUUAUUAAAAUAAAAAUUAUUUUGAUAAUAAAAUUCAAACCAAACCCAAACCAAACUCAAAUGGUUUGGUUUGGUUUGGGUUAAAAAUAUUUGGGUUGGUUUGGGUUGGAUCCAAAUUUUUAUGGUUUGGUUUGGGUUGACUUAAAAUCCAACCCAAACCAACCCAUGCCCACCCCUAGAUAGGGUCAUACAAACUCAAAAAAGUAAGCACCUCUUUCUUUUUAUAUGCAUUUAAUUUUUGACCUACUUGGUGUGCUAGUGUUAUGGUGUAAAGACAAGAUUGGAUCUGUAAUCUCAAAACAAAAUUUAGUGGGUGAUGUCAUUGUGCAAUAUUGUCACGAGCCUUCUGGUUGAUUCAUAAUGUCGGCAUUAUUUAUAGAACAUUAUAGAAUAUAAAAUAAAUUUACGAAAUUAUAUUUGAUAGUGAACUGUUUUAUGGGAUCCCCUAUCUUACAUGCAUGUAAGAUACAUGUCUCUCACAUGAAUAGUGUGUGGGUCCCACAUAUACACUAUUCAUGUGAGAGGCAUGUAUCUUACAUGCAUGUAAGAUAGAGUUUGCCCUGUUUUAUUGAUCUUUGUGCAUGAGACUCAGUUUUCUUAACACCAAGAGAUUCCAUUUGUCGGCUCAAUAAUUUAUGAAGGUGAGUUUGUAUAUUAUAUAGAUCAUGCGAAUUGCGACCGUCUCUUAAAAGGUGGCAUUUGUUGGAUUCCUUGUACAUUUUAGGUGUUUUUGAUAUACUAUAUUUUAUUAUAAUGUAAUAUAAUAUAAAGUUUUGUAAUGUUUGGUAUUAUAUCGUACAUUAUUAUAUAUAAUAUUAUUUAUAUUAAAUUAAUUUUUUAUAAUUAUAAAUAUCUUAAAAAUUUUAUAGUUUAUAUUUAUUAUUUAAAUUUAUAAAUAUAAAUAAAAUUAUUCACCAACGAUCACCGUGAACCAUUGCAAAUUGCUUCGGGCAUUCAUAUUUUGAUAAUUUUUUUUAAACUUCAAUUCUAGUGCUAUUAGAAUCCUUGUCAGCGGAUCGGAUCUAUACAACGAGUGAGCAAAAGCUUUGAUUCUGCUAUUACAUAUGCUAUCGAGUAAUUCCAAUGAUAAAGACUCCAUUGGUACCAAAAUUGAUGUCAAAGAAUGCUAAAAUAAUAUUAUUGGUGGUGGAUUGUGGUGGUCAGCAUUCGAAUUUAUUGUUUUAUAAACUAAUAAUAAAUAAAUUAAAUAUAUUGUAAUUGAUUAAAUAAUUCUACGUUUUAAAAGUCAGCAAUAUAUCUUAGUCACGGUGGGAUUGUAUAUCAUUACUUUAUGGGCCCAGCAUUACUUUGAUAUUGCGGCAAAAGAUGCAUUAAGGCCUUCGGUUAAUGUUGCUCAAUGCAAAUUUAAUAUAGAAAGCAGAGUCAUUUGAAUCUUUCAUUAAACACAACAUAGCAAGCCAAAAGAAGAAAGAUUCAAUGGAUGUACUUGGAGAUUCUCACAUUCAUCAAAAGAAAGGAAGAAGACUGAUACUCUUCCCACUGCCUUUACAAGGCCACAUAAACCCAAUGCUUCAGCUUGCAAACAUUCUCUAUUCAAAAGGCUUUUCAAUCACCAUAAUCCACACCAACUUCAACUCCCCGAAUCCCUCAAACUACCCUCACUUCACCUUCUGUUCAAUCGAAGACAGCUUGUCAGAAACUGAAGCCUCUACCGCGGAUUUAGUGGCUCUUCUUUCACUACUUAAUGUUCAGUGUGUUGUGCCAUUUCGGAAUUGCUUGGCUAAGUUGUUGUCAAAUGUUGAGGAGGAGGAAAAGGAGCCUAUUGCUUGCUUAAUCACGGAUGCUACUUGGUACUUCACUCAGGCUGUUGCUGAAAGCCUAAAGCUCUCCAGGAUUGUGUUAAGGACUAAUAGCGUCUCUUCAUUUCUUGUUUUUUCCGCCUUUCCAGUUCUAAGCCAAAAGGGUUACUUCCCAAUACGAGGUGCGAUCAAAUUAGUUCUUGCUACUAGUAUCAGUGAUAAUUUUAUUUGUAGGUACUGUCUGAUUAUCGAAUCUUGCCCUGGAGAAAUCUCCCCUUAGGAUGAUUGGAAUUCUUAGUACAUUUCAUAAUUUAGUUAUUAUGACAGUAAUUCAUUAUAGUAAUGAGUAAUGAUCAGUGCAAAUGGUACUUGAUAUUAAAAUGAUCUUCUUUUACUAUUUUUGUUCUUCAAUGUUCAGAUUCUCAAUCGGAAGCACCAGUGCCAGAACUUCCACCUCUAAGAGUGAAAGACAUUCCUGUAGUUGAAACCUGUUACCGAGAGACACUUCAUCGAUUGGUAACAGAAGCAACCAAUCAGAUGAAGGUCUCCUCGGGAUGCAUAUGGAACUCACUUCAGGAUCUUGAACUUGCUUCUCUAACCAAAUUUCAUCAGGACUUCCCCAUUCCAAUGUUCCCGAUAGGCCCAUUUCACAAGUUCUUUUCAGCUUCUUCAAGUAGCUUACUUGCACAUGACCAAACCUCAAUUUCCUGGUUAGAUAAACAAACACCAAAAUCUGUAAUUUAUGUAAGUUUUGGAAGCAUUGCUGCAAUUAACGAGACCGAAUUUUUAGAAGUAGCUUGGGGCCUAGCCAACAGCAAGGUGCCAUUCCUGUGGGUGGUACGGCCAGGAUUAGUCCGUGGAGCAGAAUGGAUUGAACCAUUGCCACAAGGGUUCCUAGAAACGCUAGAUGGAAGAGGACAUAUGGUGAAAUGGGCCCCGCAGCAAGAAGUGCUAGCUCAUCCUGCCACUGGAGGAUUUUGGACACAUUGUGGCUGGAAUUCGACAUUGGAAAGUAUAUGUGAAGGUGUCCCCAUGAUAUGCCAGCCUUGUUUUGGUGACCAAAUGGUGAAUGCAAGAUAUGUUAGUGAUGUUUGGAAAGUUGGUUUGCAUUUGGAAAGGAAGCUGGAGAGAG